rnacentral:rRNA from 1 species
UACGUAGGGUGCGAGCGUUAAUCGGAAUUACUGGGCGUAAAGCGUGCGCAGGCGGCUUGCCAAGUCAGAUGUGGAAAGCCCCGGGCUCCAACCCGGGAAUGGCGUUUGAAACUGGCAGGCUAGAGUGCGGUAGAGGGUAGUGGAAUUCCCGGUGUAAGCGGUCGAAUGCGUAGAGAUCGGGAGGAACACCAGUGGCGAAGGCGGCACCCUGGACCGUCAACACU